rnacentral:rRNA from 1 species
UACGAAGGGGGCUAGCGUUGUUCGGAAUUACUGGGCGUAAAGCGCACGUAGGCGGGUCGUUAAGUCAGGGGUGAAAUCCUGGAGCUCAACUCCAGAACUGCCUUUGAUACUGAGGAUCUUGAGUUCGGGAGAGGUGAGUGGAACUGCGAGUGUAGAGGUGAAAUUCGUAGAUAUUCGCAAGAACACCAGUGGCGAAGGCGGCUCACUGGCCCGAUACUGACGCUGAGGCACGAAAGCGUGGGGAGCAAACAGG